UGCCAGACUCCUACGGGAGGCAGCAGUGAGGAAUAUUGGUCAAUGGACGAAAGUCUGAACCAGCCAUGCCGCGUGCAGGAUGACGGCUCUAUGAGUUGUAAACUGCUUUUGUAUUAGGGUAAACACCCCUACGUGUAGGGGCUUGAAAGUAUAAUACGAAUAAGGAUCGGCUAACUCCGUGCCAGCAGCCGCGGUAAUACGGAGGAUGCGAGCGUUAUCCGGAUUUAUUGGGUUUAAAGGGUGCGUAGGCGGAUUUUUAAGUCAGCGGUAAAAUGUCCGGGCUCAACCCGGGCCGGCCGUUGAAACUGGGGAUCUUGAGUGGGCGAGAAGUAUGCGGAAUGCGUGGUGUAGCGGUGAAAUGCAUAGAUAUCACGCAGAACUCCGAUUGCGAAGGCAGCAUACCGGCGCCCGACUGACGCUGAGGCACGAAAGCGUGGGGAUCGAACAGGAUUAGAUACCCCGGUA
rnacentral:rRNA from 1 species